CUAUCACAAAGCACAAAAAUUAAAUAAAAUCCUCGGAUUGAAGCAAGAGAAAGCAGACAAUAACGACACCUCUCUCAAGGACAUUUUAUUUAUUUUCUUCCGGUUUUCUCGUCUAAGAUGGAACUGAAUAUUAUCAGUGGAGAUCCACAUUUUUGCAUCAGGUAAACACAAUAGUAAGAUGUUCUUAAGACACAACACAGGUGAAGAGGUCUCAUUGGUUGGUGUCUAAAGCUGGACAUUUCGAGAGACAUUUUAACCUAUGGCUGAUCUUUAACAAUUGUCAAACAAGAAGAGUAAAUGACAUCUGUCAGUAUGUUAUAUAAAGACACAUUGGAUUGUGAAUCAUACAUUUUAUUUCUGUAUUUUUAAUCUAUUUUUUUCCUCAACUCCAAUUGACACAUUGUUGCUCCCUGGUAGUAAAUGAGUUUCAUUUGAAACUUUGAAUGUUGGUUUCUCUGAUGACUAGGAGAGAUAGAUAACUCCUCUUCAAGCAUAUAUUAAAGGGACAGUGAAGCCAAUAUUUUCUUCCUGGAAGCUAUGGGCACAUCUCAUAAUAAUGAUUGAAGCUGUUGAUUGUCCAAACAGGCAGGUUAUUGUUUGGUUGAAAUGGUAGUGGUCUAGCUGCCUUCGCAAAAGUACCAAACUUUUGGUAUGUUGGAAAAUAUUUUUCUUUACAAUGCUGUAUUGACCAUAGCGUUAGCUGAUCGCGCUCUCUCUCUCUCUCUCUAUAUAUAUAUAUAUAUAUUAGGACCUGCCAAAGAUGGGGUACAUUGACGUUGUGGCAGGCUUAUGCAAUGUAUGAUCAUAUAAUGUAACUAAACCCCUAUUAUUUUUGCCUAGAUUAGGUAUUUUUAAUAAAACUAGAAAAUCCAUCUGCUGCAAGGUUUGGCAUCAAGGAGAUGCUUGAUGCUUUGUACUUGGGGUUAUGAUAACUCACUUCCAUUGUGUAAUGCUUAUUGGAACAAGGCACCACAGGCAGAGGAGAAAUGGUAAUACGUAUAUCCAGGUAUUUACCCUAUUGGUCCCAUCUUGUUUACCAAGACAACCUGAGGAGUGGCUGGACCAGUGGGGGUGAUCUACCUUGGGUGACGGAUGCAAGAUGGGUGCAGGCAUCACCAUCUCACCUGUCACACGUGGCUGUGUGGGACCAGGGUGGAAGAUUUCAUUAUCCUCACCCCAGUGAUAGAUGGGAGGGAGCUACUCCCUGAUACAGGCAGCGGGGGCAAAGUCACUGACAGCUGCAGCUUGGUACUGCUGCUGCAUGCUUGGGGGGUUGGGGAGAGGGGGGCGAGCAGGAAGGAGCUGGGCUAGGGCACACU